rnacentral:rRNA from 1 species
GACGAACGCUGGCGGCGUGCUUAACACAUGCAAGUCGAACGGACAGGCCCUGCUUUUGUUGGGUGCUCGAGUGGCGAACGGGUGAGUAACACGUGAGUAACCUGCCCUUGACUUUGGGAUAACUUCAGGAAACUGGGGCUAAUACCGGAUAGGAGCUCCUGCUGCAUGGUGGGGGUUGGAAAGUUUCGGCGGUUGGGGAUGGACUCGCGGCUUAUCAGCUUGUUGGUGGGGUAGUGGCUUACCAAGGCUUUGACGGGUAGCCGGCCUGAGAGGGUGACCGGCCACAUUGGGACUGAGAGACGGCCCAGACUCCUACGGGAGGCAGCAGUGGGGAAUAUUGCGCAAUGGGCGGAAGCCUGAUGCAGCAGCGCCGCGUGCGGGAUGACGGCCUUCGGGUUGUAAACCGCUUUCGCCUGUGACGAAGCGUGAGUGACGGUAAUGGGUAAAGAAGCACCGGCUAACUACGUG